AUUUCAAUUUUCUAUAUACACUACAAUGUUAAUUCUAGUCUAUGAAGAGGCCAAAAUUGUGGAAAGGGGUACAUCUCAGAGUUACGAUUCUUUAAGUGAGUGAAGGUGUGUAUGUGUAUGCAUGUGUACAGUUUGAAAAGGCUCACCAGGAGAUUCUAAUAGAUUUCCUAUACUACCACCCUCAUCCAAUUAUUUGUUCUUGUUCAAGUCUAAAGCAGUGCCUUGGAAACUGAAUGUAGUUGCUCAUCUUUGCAGAUAAACAGAGGAAAACAAAAGAGUCCUUUGUGUUAUCUAGAGAUGCCCGGGCAUAGACCAGUCUCAGAGCUGGGCGUGUCCUACAUACUGCCAGCUCUGCAAAUGUUUGAGGAAGAGGAGUGAAGGACAACUGAAGAGAAAGACAAUUCCAAUGUUUCCUGAGGGAAGCUGAAUUGCUGAAAGUUUGUCAUUAUCUCAGCGUCAACUGCCAGGGUGGCUGAAUUUUAGCAUAAGUCAUGAUAUGUAGUAGUUUCUAAAGCCAUAAGUGCGUGAUUCUUGGAUCUUCACUGUGAGAACCUGAUGGGAUCCCUGGAAGCAAAAUUCAUGAAAUUGUGGGGCCCCUUUUAAGACUGUGAUCCACAGGAGAUUCUCACUCUCAUUGUAGUCCACAUUCAGCUUCCAAUAAUUCACCAAAAUUACCACAUCUUUCUCUGAAAGCAUUGCUAAUCAAGAGUCAGGUUUUUCCAGUUCCAUCAGUCUUUUGUCCCUUGAUGCCAGGAAGGACUUUUCCUGCGUGUUGCGUCCCACGUUGGAGGGAAAGUCACAGACUGGAAACCUAUUGAGGUCACAUUUGAUUACAAAGAGAGGUACUACCAAAAGAAUAGAAGCCUAAAGUUGCAGUUGAUCACCACAAGGAGAGGGCCUACGCUGGAGUAAACUCAAUGUAGAGAUAGGAAGAUAUUAUCGUGGAUCCUGGAAUAUCCAGAUGGGCCCUUAAAAGCAGAAGAAGAGGACAAAAAGUCAAUCAGAAAUAUGGAGCAGAUGUUGAAGUCAGAAAGAUUCGAAGUGUGAGAAGGACUUGACCCACCAGUGCUGGAGUGUGGCCACAUGGAAAGCAAUAGAAAAUCCUUAUUCAGCAGGUGAAAAAGCAACCAUAUCAUAUCUCCAAUAGAAACUGUACUUUCUUUUUUUUUUUUUUUUUUUUGGUGAGAAAGAUUCACCCUGAGCUAAUAUCUGUUGCCAAUCUUCCUCUUUUUUUUUUUUUGCUUGAGGAAGAUUAGCCCUGAGCCAGCAUCUGUGCCCAUCUUCCUCUAUUUUGUAUGUGGGAUGCCUCCACAGCAUGGCUGAUGAGUGGAGUAGGUCUGCUAUCGGAAUCCAAACCCGCAAACCUGGGUCAUCGAAGCGGAGUGCAUGGAACUUUAACCACUCGGCCAUGGGGCCGGCCACAGAAAGAGUACUUUCUAUUCCUUGAUUGAGCAAGGAAAGAAGUUUAUUAUCAAAGGCAGCCAGACAAGGAGAUGGGAGUAAAAAACUCAAAUCUACCUCCUCAAAUGGAAAAAGGUGUUUUCCCGACCAUGAUGAGAGAGGUCUUGCCAGGUUCACUGCCUACACUGGUUCUGCAGUCAUUACAGAGGUCUGUCUGCCCAUUACCAAAUGCACAGGUUUUGGUUUUACAGUACUGGGUGGAGAACUGUUCCUCAGUCAGACAUAAUAUCCAUUCACAUAAAACAUUCAGGUAAGGAGACAUGACCCCUUCACAUAAAGCCUAUUUAAACAUUCCAAUUUUCAUCCAAACUUCCAUCUUAAUCCUAUCAACCUUUACAUUUCUAUAUUCUCUCAAUCUAAUUGUAGCCUGUGUUAGGGCUUAUCCAAAAGAUUUUGAUAGCACAGUGCAUGAGGGUCCCAUGUCACAGAGUCCCAGAAACACCUUUUCUCCACCCUCUUACCAUUUUACCUACUUGUGUGCAUUAGGCUUUGGGUCCCAGGAACCAAGAGACCUUUUGUUAAUCAGCCUGACCAUUGCUUCAGGCAAUUCCAGGAGGGGUUCCCAUUAUAAUUUUUGCCUUCCAGCUUCUUAAAUUCCUCCGCACUGGAGUAAAUAAAGCAGAUUUAUUUGGGGCCCUUUAAUGUUGGGGACUAGCAGGCAGUCCCAUUGGUUCACCCAACCUCCCGUAGUGCUGUGUUAAGACCUUUGUUUCAAUCCCAUCAGUGUCCUUUUAUUCAUCCCGUUUCUUAAUAACCAUCUAAAGAUUUCCACUCUACUGGAAUGAGUCCCUUGACUAUCUCUUCUGCCUCUCCUCAUUCUCCUGUUAAUUAAUAUAAUGCUUUAUUAGCAUCUAUAAGACUCACAGGGGGAAGCUGAGUCAGCAAAUUCCAUAAGACUUCUUGGACUAUUGUUUGAUUUUGCAGCAAUAAGUUUAGGUGGGAUGCCCAUGCAAAAGAAGCCCCCUUAAUCACAGUAUUUAUCAUGAACUGGGUAAAGGGCAUAUUCAGUGGCUUAAUAUCCCUGUCAUCAUAAAGCUAGUCCCACAUGGCUUUCACAGGAAGCAUAUCAACUGCUUCAUCUGAGGUGUUCCACUUGUCAUUUAUAGAGGGAGUUGGCAGCCCCCUUCUCAGGGUAAACAGACUUUACAGUGGUUUUUAUCCAGUCCACCAGGCUGGCUGUUCCCUCAGGAAUAAUUACUGUAUUAGGUUGCUAGGGCUGCCGGAACAGAAUACCAUAGCCUUAUCUCACAUAUCUGGAGGCUGGAAAUCCAAGAUCAGGGUUCCAUCAGGGUUUGGUUUCUUCUGAGUUCUCUCUCCUUGGCUUGCAGAUGGCUACUUUCUUGCUGUGUCCUCACAUGUUCUUUCCUACAUGUGUGCACACCCCUAAUGUCUCUCUGUAUGUUCAAAUUUCAGCUUCUUAUAAGGACACCAGUCAGAUUGAAUUAGGUUCCACCAAUACGACCUCAUUUAAUUUUAAUUACCUCCUUAAAGGCCCUAUCUCCAAAUAUAACCACAUUCUGAGGUACUGGGAGUUUGGGCUUCAACAUGAGUUGGGGGAAGGCACAAUUCAGGCCAGGACACUCUGCCCUCUGCACCUCCUAAAAUUCAUGUCCUUCUCACAUGUAAAACACAUUCACCCUCAUGCCAACAGCCCAAAUGUCUUAAACCAUUCCAGCAUCAACUCUAAGUCCCAAAUCUCAUGUAAAUCAAAUGUAUGUGAGACUGGAGGUAUGAUUCAUCUGAGGUAAAGUUCCUCUUCAGCUGUGAAUCUGUGUUACUGGUCAAGUUAUCUGCUUCCAGAAUACAGUGGUAGGACAAGCAUAGGAUAGACAUUUCCAUUUCGAAACAGAGAAACUGGGGAAAAAAGGGAGUCAUGAGUCCCAAGCAAGUCCAAAACCUAACAGGGCAAAAUCCAUUAGACUUUAAGGCUCAAAAAUAAUCCUUGGCUCAAUGCUCUGUCCACUGGGCCCACCAGGGUAGUGGUCCCAACCCCUCAGCUCUAAGGGGCAGUCUCUGAGGCCCUGAGGCCAAUUCAGCCCAUAACACUUGCUGAGUGUCUAGAUCAUGUAUAGCCACGUGUAAUUGUUCCAGUGUGAACUGUGAGUCCUGCUUCAACCUAAGCAUGUUCUUCCAUAACAUUUAAAGCCUCUAAAUUAGUCACUCUCACAAUCCAUUUAGUAAAAUUUCUUCAGGGAGCUGAUGAUACCAAUAGAUAAAAUGAGACAAUUCCUUCACACUAUACUCCCUGGUUUCAGUAGUUUCUGGGUUUUGCCCUUCCCCAACAUGGACUACCCUUUUGGUGACCAGAGUCUUAGAGAUACUCUCUAUUGCCCUGGAAUAAUUUUUCCUUUUGUAGGUGGCUUUGAACCUAGUGGGUGAAACUCAGACUGAUUGAAAACUGAACUUGGUCCAGCAUCAAUGUUCAACUCAGUAAUCUCUUUUAAUUUCAUUUUAGCUGUCACAGAUAACAAUAACCAAGGGAUUCUAUAUUUCACUUUUUUCUUAUUAGUUUGCAUUUUCUUAUGCAUCUAGUGAACCAACUCCCCGGGUGUGAAGGUUAAUUUUAUUUGUCAACUCGCCUGGGCUAGGGGAUCCCCAGAGAGCUGGUAAAACAUUGUUUCUGAGUGUGUCUUUUAGGGUGUUUGUGGAAGAGAUUAGCAUUUGAUUCAGUAGACUGAUGAAGAGAUACACCCUCACCAAUGUGGGCCAACAUCAUCCAAUUUAUUUGAGGUCUGAAUGGGACAAACAAAACAAGGAAAGGUGAACUCUCUCUCUCUCCCACUCUCCCUCUCUCGCUCUCUUCUCUCUUCUUGAACUGGGCCAUCCAUCUUUUCCUGCCCUCAAACAUCAGAGUUCCUGGUUCUCCAGCCUUUUGACUCUGGGACUUACACCAGCAGGCUUUGGUUCUCAGGCCUUUGGCCCCAAACUAGGAGUUGCACCAUUGGCUCCUCUGCUUCUCAGGCCUUUGGCCUCGGAUUGAAUUAUACCACUGGCUUUCCUGGUUCUCCAGUUUGCAGAUGGCAGAUUGUGGCACUUCUCAGCCCUCAUAAUCAUGUGAGCCAAUUCCUAUAUAAAUCUCCUCUUAUAUGUAUCUAUCUAUCUAUCUAUCAUCUAUCUAUCUAUCUAUCUAUCUAUCUAUCUAUCUAUCUAUCUAUCUAUCUAUCAUCUGUCUGUCUAUCUAUAUAUUGGUUCUGUUUCUCUGGAGAACCCUGACUAAUACAUUGGGAGUUGGAUCUAUCUAUAAAUUUCAUUGGUAAGUUUUACCUUUAGUAACUGAUUGCAGUACAGCUACUGUCCCAUACCAUGUGGAGCCAUGUGACCACCCAGGAAUCAAGAGUUCCUCAUCCCCCACUCUUUCAUCCUUUCUCUUCCCAAACCACAUGUUUCUUUGAGUCAGGGCCAUUCCAGCAAAUUCCAUAUUUUCUGACACCAAAUGCUUUUUUUUUUUUCUGACAUUAAAUAUGUUCUUGUUUCAACAGCAAUUCUCAAUUCUUCAACACCAACUGGGUGGCUUAGAAUUUAAUUUAACUCUGACACUAACUAUGCAGAGUUAGCACAGACCUGACAAGUUAAGGGCUCAGUCCCACAACGCAGCCUUCACUUCAGAUGCCAGUCACAAGUCCCAGGGGCCGCCUGCACUUCUGAACAAAUGACAGUAAAUUUGAGGGUUCCCAUGACGCCCUCCCAGGUUUGAUAGUUUGUUAGAAUGACUCAGGGAAGUGCUAUACUGAUGAGUAAAGUUUUAUUAUAAAGGAUACAACUCAGGAACAGCCAAAUGGAACAGAUGCAUAGGGCAAGGUAUGGAGGUGUACAAGAGUACAAAGCUCCCAUGCUCUCUUCAGGUGUGCCACCAUCCAGUACCUCAAUACGUUCACCAACCCAGAAGAUCCUCAAACUUUGUUGUUCAAGGGUAUUUAAUGAAACCUCAUUACAUAGGCAUGAUUGAUUAAAUCAUUGGCCAUUGGUGAUUGAACUCAAUCUCUAGCCCUUUAUCAUCUGUGGAGGUUGAGGGUGGAGCUGAAAGUUCCAACCCUCUAAUCAUAUGGUUGGUUCUUCUGGCAACCAGCUCCCAUUAAGAAGCUAUCUAGGGGCUGCCAAAAGUUAUUUCAUUAGCAUAGACUCAGGUAUGGUAGAAAGGGGCUUGUUAUAAAUAAUGAAAGACAUUCCUACCACUCAGGAAAUUCCAAGGGUUUGAGGACCUCUGUGCAAGGAACCAGGGACAAAGACCAAAUGCGUUAUACCACAAGUGUGUAUAAGGCAUGUUCAAGGAUGGCACCCCAAACUUGCAGAGUAUUGCCUCAGAGCUGAUGCUUCAUGUACACCCUAAACAGGAAAGUCCCACAAAUUAAUUAUAUUUACAAAUAUAACUGUGACAAUAAUUGGGAAAAUGGUCUAGAUAAAAGAGAAUAUAUUUAUAAGAUAGUCAAUAAUGAGGGUAUUUUAAUAAAUAGUCCAGUGGGAGAAAUGAUAAGAUAGGGUAGGGGAAGAAAAACUUCCUUCUACUUCCUAGGUUCUGUGGGUGAGCCUAAGAAUUAGACUGACAUAAGACAGACUAAUAGGAGAAAAGCAUACAAAUUUUAUUUAAUAUUUUUAUGUGCACAUGAGAGUCUUCAUAAGGAAAAUGAAGACCUUAAGAAGCAGUUAGGACUAAGAGCUUAUUCACUUUCUAAACAAAGAAAUUAUAAAUGUGUGGAGAAGAGACAAGACAAGGGAGUUUGAGUUAGGGGCAGUAAAUUUUGGGACAGUGACUAGGAAAUAUAUAGGGGAAACUAAUGGAGGAUAAGGGUUAUUUUAUUAGGUUUCUUUAUACAGAUUCAUUUUGGCAUCAACUCCCAGUCUCGAGUGAUAAGAAUGCUCUUGUCUUCCUGGUACAGAGAGGGCACCUUUCUCAUGAGAUAUUUUAUGAUCUGCUUUAGGUAGAAAGGGGGAGGUCAAAGAACUCUUCCUGCAUUUACUCUUCCUCAAAUGCCUUCAGCUCAAAAUAGCAUAUUUUGCCUUCAGCCAAAGCAGCAUAUUUAGGGGUGGAAUGUUCUGAACUCCUUCAAUAGUGAAAGUAAGAAUGGAGAGGAUAAAAAAUUAUUCAAAAAGUAUUUAGGAGGCGUAAUUGGUUGAGCUAGGUGAAGUACUAAAUGUGGAUAUUUAAGCGGAGUAAAGAGUCAAUAAUAAUUCUAGGAGCUUAAAAAGGGAAGAAAUAGAUGACAUUAAAUAAGAUGUGGUAUACAGGAGUAAGAAUAAGUUUUGAUUAUAGGCUAAAUAUGAGUUUGAUUUGGGAUAUGCUACACUUGAAACACCUGCUGGAUACUUCUAGUAAGUUCAUGUAAGUGUAUGUCUGAAAUACAGAUCAAGUUUGGAAAUGUAGAUUUUGAAGUUAUCUGUACAUAAGUUGUAUAUAAAGUCAUUUAGUUGCUUAAUUUAUUUGGAAAAUCAUAUAGAGCAAGAAGAGAUGACAAAAUAUAAUAAUUUAGGCAAAUAUUAAUAUUAGAGCUGGUGGAAAAAAAAUCAGCAAAGAAGACUGAGAAGAUGGAAGAGUAGGAGAGUGAGGUUGAAGGUGGGUAACCUAGAAAAAAAUGUAUGAGAGAAGGAGUUUCUGGAAGAAAGCAUUUUUGUAUCAAUUGCUGAAGAUAGAUCAAGUAGGGGAGUUACUUAAGGGGCCACUGGAUUUAGCAGUCAAGGAGUCAUUGGUUUAAAACCGAAAAGAAGGUCAAUGUUGACUUUAACAGUUCGGUAAAGUAGUUGAGACAAAAACUAUUGCGGUGGAUUGGAAAGUGAAAGGAAGGGGAGAGUCAGCCAGAACUGAAUAGUCUUUCAAAAAGUUUGAUGAUGAAAUAAAAGAGGAAAAUAGAGCAAUAGCUUGAGGGAAUUACUAGCUUGGGGAAGAUGUUUUUAUGCACAAUCCUGUGUAUUUCUAUACGCCAAAGGGAGGAAAUCAGUGGAAAGAGGAAAUCGGAAAUAAGAAGGCAUAACAAUUCAGUAAAGGUUCUGGAGUAAGUUUGAGGGAAUUGUAAAAUAAUGUGUUAGGGGUAGUUAGCUGUAGAAAAGAUAGUACCUCUUCCUCGCACUCUUAAUGAAAAAAAAGCUAUUUAAAAAUUUUGUUACACUUAGUCCAUUCUUUCACCUUAUUUCUGUCAAUUUUCAAUUAUCCCUUAUAACGCGCAGAGGACAGAAGUAGGGAGAACCCAAAUUUGAAUAUAAACAAAAGAUCUGGGUUCCACAUGAACAAACUGUAAGGUUGAGAAGAUGGUUAUGAUGGAAUAGUGGUGAAGAUAAUCCAUAAGGUAGAAAGAAAGUGUAACCUUUGUAAAUGAGAGCAGGCUUUUAAAAGAGAUGACAAGGAAUUGAUUGCUUUGGAUUAAGAAACUUAAAAUAACCAACAAACUAUACGUAGAAGUCAACCUUUGUGAAAAAAAAAUCCUUCAGAAGUAUUAAAGUUAUAUAAGUGUGCCUUAGUACUCCAACGCCUAAUACAUGGUAUGCAUGGGUAAAAAUCACGUAAAAAUGUCUUCAAAGACUAUGUGAGGGUAUUUGCAUUUUAUUCUUAUCUGGUUGUUUCCUCCAAAGUCCCCAAAACAACAGAAAGUCCCUAAUGCAAUUUCUAGAAGUUUUACAGCGCUGCAUUAAGGUCUUCAUAUUGAAACGCCAGUGAUAGACCUGCCCUGCAUUAAAGGACUGAUGGAAUCUGGAAGGAUGAAUUUAUGGUACACUGCUGUGUCAGCAAACUUGCCAUUUGCUGAAUAAGAGCUGAUAAACAGCAAAAUCAAUUUAAACAAUCAUACCAGUUAAUCCAUUCUAGUAGGUAUUACCAACUCGAAAGAGUGGGUAUGAUAGAUACUAAAAUAAGUGCCAAAGGCUAGAAAGAGAAUAUUUAAAAAUUUCUAUCUCACUUGUAUAUUUUUCAUGUAGUUUAAUUUUUCUUUUACAGAAUGCAGACAUUUAAAAUAAUUUUCAAUAAGGUAUUU